AUAGGGGACGAGGGGGACGAGGUGGUCAUAAUCAAUACCCACACAACAAUUAUGGACCCAACUAUCCUUCUCAGCCUUGGAAUGCAAAUAAAGAUGGACGUGCAAGAUGUAAAAUUUGUAAUGGUGCCACCCAUCAUGUUGCAUCGGAUCUCUCAAGCUUCACUCAUGCUGAGGAAUACAAAGGCUCGGAUUAAUUACACGUUGGUAAUGGACAAGGUUUGCCAAUUCAACACACUGGUAAUGCCUCUUUCUCGACUCCCUAUCAUCAUAAAGUUUUUCUCAAUAACAUUCUUCAUGUCCCCUCUAUAACUAAACCGCUUCUUUCUGUUCGAACGUUUGCUAAUGAUAAUAAUGCUUUCUUUGAAUUUCACCCUCGUCAUUUUCUUGUCAAGGAUUGGGAUUCCAAGAUUCACUUCUUUCAGGUCGGAGUAGCGAUGGCCUUUACUCCAUGUCUAUCAAGCCGCAAUCUUCAAGCUCUCCUUCAGCCUUCUCUGCUGUCAAAGUUUUCGCAUCUUGUUGGCAUCUUCGGUUGGGUUACCCGCCUCAGAAAGUUCUCAGUCAAGUGAUGUCCACACACAAGCUUUCUAGUUCUAGUUUUAGAUUAAAUAAUUUAUGCACUGCUUGCCAACUUGGCAAGUCCCGUAAGUUGUCUCUUCUAAUUCACAUUAAUAAAAGUACUUCUUUCUUGCAACU